rnacentral:lncRNA from 1 species
CCACAAGCUUGGCGGUGUUCGACAUCAACACCAUCGAGGAGCCAUGGCUGAAGCACCUCAACAACACCACCCCUCUCCCCCAAGACAAUAAUAAACCCUCCCUCCCCGCCCCUAUUCUCCACAAACUCAACUUGCUCGACGCCACCGAUGCCCCCCAAUCCUGGGAUGAGAUUAGCAAAACACUCCAAGACCUCAAACCCCCCUCCACCUCACCCCAACAACAACCUCAACCUCCACAAAAGACCAAGUCCUUCCACACGGUGGAAGAGCUAGACGCCAAGCUCAACCCCAAGCCCGAGCCCAAGCCCAAGCCCAAUCCAGAAUUGAAAAAGCCCGCUGAUCAGAUAAUUAACAGUAGCAUAGUUACCGAGCCAGUCCGAGGGAAC